rnacentral:lncRNA from 1 species
UUGAUCAACGAAAGAGCCAUCAGCUCUAGUAUGCGUUCUCAUAAACACUUCACCUAAUGAAACUGGACGCCCCAACUCUUCCUCCUGAAAUGAAAGACAAAAUGAAUAUCAUGUGUAGAAAUGAUAGAAAUUAUGUAAAAGUAAAGUAUUUGGAGCGAUUGAAACAACUUACCAUUUCUUGAUGAACUUGAAUAAAUGAUUUCUGACCGGCUAAGUGUUUGUGCACUCCAAGUCCGCCACGAUCAGAAUUUCUGCAUUGUGAAGCAUUCUCACUCCUCUCUAUAGCAUCAGCGGUCUUCCAAAAGUUCUGCAUCUCAGUCCAAAGUGUAAGUCGAAUCCAAGUUGGUUGUACACCUUUCGUCCUCACUUGACUGACAAUGCCUUUCAUCCGUUUCUGCGCUAUAACCAAGAAUCCUUGUUUAACAAGGGCAGUAAUCCCAGUAUCC